CACCAGCCCCUCGAGUGGUGGGGAUGAUUAUUUGGCCUAAAGCGUCCGUAGCCGGCCGGGUAAGUUUCCCGUUAAAUCCAGCGUCUCAAGCGUUGGACUGCGGGAAAUACUGCCUGGCUAGAGAGUGGGAGAGGUCAGCGGUAUUCUGGGGGUAGGGGCGAAAUCCUUUGAUCCCCGGAGGACCACCAGUGGCGAAGGCUGCUGACUAGAACACGUCUGACGGUCAGGGACGAAAGCUGGGGUAGCGAACCGGAUUAGAUACCCGGGUAGUCCCAGCCGUAAACGAUGCAUGCUAGGUGUUGGGUUGGCCACGAGCCACCCCAGUGCCGCAGGGAAGCCGUUAAGCAUGCCGCCUGGGAAGUACGAUCGCAAGAUUGAAACUUAAAGGAAUUGGCGGGGAGCACCACCAGGCGUGAAGCUUGCGGUUU
rnacentral:rRNA from 1 species